rnacentral:tRNA from 1 species
GCGGCUGUCUCUAGUGGUUAGGACACCACGUUGUGGGUCCGUGGCAACCUCGGUUCGAUUCCGAGCACCGCA